UAACUAAAACAAAGCUACCAAAGUCAGUUACAUGGUAAAACAAAGCUACAGACUGAAAGUUACAAACUUUAUACAAAAUCAAGUGAGUAAAGCUAAACUAGAAAAGGAAAGUUACAAAGUUUAGGCAAACUACAAAAAUGAGUAAAAACAAACUACCUAAACAGGCAAAACUAAAACAUUCUUUGUUUUAAUCCUUCCAGGAGAGUUCUCCUUCAGCCAAGCCACAGGCAGCAGCUGGCACCGGCCCGCUCUGCGGAGCCGGCGAGAGCUCGGGCUCCACCUGGGAGAAGCGGCCUGCAGGCAGGAAGGCAAGUGAUGGCCGCACCCCGCACUGCGGUGGGGACAGCCAAAGGGCCGGCAAACGGGGAGAAAACGAGCCAGCCUGCAGUGCCGGAGCUGCAGGGAUCGAAGUCCCCAGCCCGGCAGCCAGGAGCAGCUGUGGCAGCAGGGCUCCAGUGCAGGCCCGGCCCGGGGACACCCACACCUGACUCUGGGCUUCCACAGCACGGGGAAAGAGCAUUUGCUAGCAAGGAAUGCUGGAGGAGCCUUGAGAAGAGAAGCUUUGGGGUGACCUCAUUGUGACCUUCCAGUACCUGAAGAUAUCCUACAGGAUAAAUGAAGAGAGACUAUUUACAAGAACCUGGAGUGGACAAGGGAGAAUGGCUUCAAACUGACAUAGAG